AUUGAACGCUGGCGGCAGGCCUAACACAUGCAAGUCGAGCGGAGCGGCGGACGGGUGAGUAAUGCCUAGGAAUCUGCCUGGUAGUGGGGGAUAACGUCCGGAAACGGGCGCUAAUACCGCAUACUCUCAGAUGAGCCUAGGUCGGAUUAGGGUGUUGUUGGGGUAAAGGCCUACAAAGGCGACGAUCCGUAACUGGUCUGAGAGGAUGAUCAGUCACACUGGAACUGAGACACGGUCCAGACUCCUACGGGAGGCAGCAGUGGGGAAUAUUGGACAAUGGGCGAAAGCCUGAUGCAGCCAUGCCGCGUGUGUGAAGAAGGUCUUCGGAUUGUAAAGCACUUUAAGUUGGGAGGCGUUACCAACAGAAUAAGCACCGGCUAACUUCGUGCCAGCAGCCGCGGUAAUUC
rnacentral:rRNA from 1 species